GAUGAAGAACGUAGCGAAAUGCGAUACUUGGUGUGAAUUGCAGAAUCCCGUGAACCAUCGAGUCUUUGAACGCAAGUUGCGCCCGAAGCCAUCAGGUUGAGGGCACGUCUGCCUGGGCGUCACAUAUCGUUGCCCAAGGCCUAUUGCAGUGCAAUAGGAAUUUCUAGGGCGAAUGAUGGCUUCCCGUGAGCGUUGUUGCCUCGCGGUUGGUUGAAAAUCGAGUCCUUGGUAGGGUGUGCCAUGGUAGAUGGUGGUCGAGUUAGAACGAUACCGAUCAUGUGCAUGCUCCCCAAAAUAUGGCCUCUAUGACCCACACGCGUCUUUUGACGCUCAUGACGAGACCUCAGGUCAGGCGGGGCUACCCGCUGAAUUUAAGCAUAUCAAUAAGCGGAGGA
rnacentral:misc_RNA from 1 species